CUGCAGCUCAAGUGGUGGCCGCUAUUAUUGGGCCUAAAACGUCCGUAGCCUGUUUAGUAAAUGCUUGGGUAAAUCGUGUAGCCUAACUAUACGAAUACCGGGUAGACUGCUAGACUUGGGACCGGGAGAGGCUAGAGGUACUCCGGGGGUAGAGGUGAAAUUCUGUAAUCCUGGGGGGACCACCAGUGGCGAAGGCGUCUAGCUAGAACGGGUCUGACGGUGAGGAACGAAGCCCUGGGGCGCAAACCGGAUUAGAUACCCCAGUAGUCC
rnacentral:rRNA from 1 species